rnacentral:rRNA from 1 species
AUACGUAGGUGACAAGCGUUAUCCGGAUUUACUGGGCGUAAAGGGCGUGUAGGCGGUCUUGCAAGUCAGAAGUGAAAUUCCUGAGCUCAACUCGGGCGCUGCUUCUGAAACUGCAGGACUUGAGUGCUGGAGGGGAUAGCGGAAUUCCUAGUGGAGCGGUAAAAUGCGCAGAUAUUAGGAAGAACACCGGUGGCGAAGGCGGCUAUCUGGACAGUAACUGACGCUGAGGCGCGAAAGCGUGGGGAGCAAACAGGAUUAGAUACCCUGGUAGUUCACGCCGUAAACGAUGAAUACUAGGUGUAGGGGGUAUCGACUCCCUCUGUGCCGCAGUUAACACAAUAAGUAUUCCGCCUGGGGAGUACGGCCGCAAGGUUGAAACUCAAAUGAAUUGACGGGG